rnacentral:rRNA from 1 species
GGUUGAUCCUGCCAGUAGUCAUAUGCUUGUCUAAAAGAUUAAGCCAUGCAUGUCUAAGUAUAAGCAAUCUAUACAGUGAAACUGCGAAUGGCUCAUUAAAUCAGUUAUCGUUUAUUUGAUAGUACCUUACUACUUGGAUAACCGUGGUAAUUCUAGAGCUAAUACAUGCUAAAAGUCCCGACCUCUGGAAGGGACGUAUUUAUUAGAUAAAAAACCAAUGCCUUCGGGCUCCCUGGUGAUUCAUGAUAACUUUACGAAUCG